UAUUGCACAAAUAAGGACAUUAAUUAAUGCUUCUUUAAAUCUGUUAGACAUUCAUCUUGGAGUCACAAACAGAAGUGACUUAUUUAAAGGUCAAGUAGUCCUAUUUUUGUCUUGUUUUUUCAUUAAAUUUUUUAAACAUCCUUAUAUCAAUAUAAAUUAUUUGAGAAGCAAAAUUGCAUUAGAAACUAAAGUAACUUUAAUUUUAUUGCUCCAUUACUUUAAGAUUUAAAUCUCAUUCGGGAUUAAGUGAGGAGGAUAAAAAAAUAACCUGUGGCUAACUGAAUAAAGAAAUCACUAUGAUGACCUGACCUGACACUGUGAUGUCAGGCCUAUAAAUAACUGGCAAAAGUGGUAGGCAAGAGGGCGUGUUAGUCCAGGACAAUGGGGAUUUCUACUUGACUUUCUUAUGUGAGAGGAGGUAUUGUUUUCACAAAAGAGGCAUACAGGAGUGGUGACCGUUACUGUGCUCUUCCCAAGUGGUGUCAGUGGUUCGCUUCUGGUCUAAGAGGAAUUUCAUUGGUGGGAGCUCAUCAUCGCUGUCCUCCAUGUCCAGAUCAGCUCCAUCAGUGAUGUACAUCUCUUUGUAUGUCCCUCUAUCUAAACAGAGGCAGGACUCACAUUAAAAAUCAGUGUGGGUAAAAACAAUGUCUAGUUAUGUAAACUAUUUAAAUAUAAGAAAGGAAUAAUAAUAAAAUUUACAGUAUGGUUGUGCUGCACAUUAUCACUAUUUACAUGCAUUAACAAUCAUCAUUACUUUUACAGCAUUUACUAAUAUUGUUUGGUAACACUUUAUUUUAGGGUCUUUUAACUAGUUGCUUAUUAGCAUGCAUAUUACUAGAAUAUUAGCUAUUUAUUAGUACUUAAGCACAUAUUAAUGCCUUAUUCUGCAUGAUCUUAUUCUACAUUCUUAAUCCUACCCAAUACCUAAACUUAACAACUACCUUACCAACUAUUAAUAAGCAGUAAAUUAGGAGUUUAUUGAGGGAAAAGUUAUAGUUGAUAGUUUAUAUGUGUUCCCUAUAUACUAAAGUGUUACCUAUUGUUUAAUGUAAUUUCUACAUAUACUAUUUUGAACAUUAAAAGGGGCUUCAGGGUGAUACAAAACCCCUCUGUGUCAGAGUCUUGAUGAACCUGUCAGGGUUUAUUUUGUGAUGAUGACAGGCUGAAUGCAGGCUACAUUAUCUUGUUUAUUACCGCCGUCUAAUUAAAUUAAUAUGUGGACAUGAAAUAUUGAUUUUAUGUUUUAAAACAGAUUUUUUGCUUAAUAUUAUUGAGGAAAAAGUUUUUUUUUUUUUCAGGAUACUUAGAUGAAUAAAUUCAAAUGAACAGCAUUUAUUUGAAAUAGAAAUCUUUUGUAACAAUGUCUUUACUGUCACUUUUGAUUAAUUUAAUGCAUCCUUGCUGAACAGAUAUUUAAAGAAAAAGACUUUACUUACCUUGAAGGCCAUGUUUCUAGCAUCUGUAAAACCGCAUUCUUCCAUCUUAAAAAUAUAUCUAAACUACGACAUAUGCUCUCAAUGACAAAUGCAGAACAGUUAGCUCAUGCGUUCAUGACCUCAAGGCUAGAUUACUGUAACGCUCUACUGGGUGGUUGUUCCACUCGCCUGUUAAACAAACUACAGCUCGUACAAAAUGCAGCAGCUAGAGUUCUUACUAGAACUAGGAAGUAUGACCAUAUUAGCCCAGUUCUGUCAACACUGCAUUGGCUUCCUGUUAAACAUCGUAUAGAUUUUAAAAUCUUGCUAAUUAGUUACAAAGCACUAAAUGGUUUAGCUCCCCAGUACCUGCGCAAGCUCUUAAUGCAUUAUAGUCCUUCACGUCUAUUGCGAUCUCAGAAUUCAGGCCAGCUGAUAAUACCUAGAAUAUCAAAAUCAACUGCAGGCGGUUCUCCUAUUUGGCACCUAAACUCUGGAACAAUCUUCCUAGCAUUGUUCGGGAAGCAGACACACUCUGUCAGUUUAAAUCUAGACUAAAAACGCAUCUCUUUAACCUGGCAUACACAUAACACAUUAUCAAUUCAUUUUUUCAAAUCUGUUAAAGGAUUAUUAGGCUGCAUAAAUUAGGUCAGCCGGAACCGGGAACACUUCCUAUAACACCAGAUGUACUCAUUACAUCAGAAGAAGAAUGGCAUCUACGCUAAUAUUAGACUUUCUGUUUAUCCCGAGGUUUACCAUAGUCAACCGGUCCGGGCCGUAUCCAGGUGAGAUUGAGGACCUACGCCUUGACACGACCACAACGCACCCCUGAAGUAUCAGCAGAGAUUGAGUCAACUAGAUCAUCCAUUGUGAAGGCCUCAUCGACACAACAGCCAGUGGCACAGUUCCUCAACAAACCGUCCAUACCGGCGUGAUGAAUACGAUCCUCAACUGGAUUGAACUGGAAUAAAUACUUUGAAUAUUGCGAUCCUAUCGGGCUUGUGAUAGCUACCUGAAUCGUAACAAAGCACUGUUUGCCAGAGGAGAACUGGCCCCCCGACUAAGCCUGGUUUCUCCCAAGGUUUUUUUCUCCAUUUUAACACCUAUUUGCCACCUGUUUGCCACCCGAUGUCACCUGUUGGAGUUUGGGUUCCUUGCCGCUGUCGCCUUUGGCUUGCUUAGUUGGGGACACUUGACAUUUGAUAUUCAACAGUGCUUUGAUCUGCCUGCAUUGACACCAUUUUCUUUAAGAGCUGCUGUGCAGCCAAAAUUAUAUACCAGUUAUCGCUGUAAAGCUGCUUUGACACAAUCUGCAUUGUAAAAAGUGCUAUAUAAAUAAAGGUGACUUGACUUGA